UUCCGGUUGAUCCCGCCGGACCCGACUGCUAUUUGGGUGAGGAUAAGCCAUGCGAGUUGAAUGGGAAACCUAAAAAUCCCAUGGCAAACUGCUCAGUAACACAUGAUCAACUUACCCUAUAGAGGAAAAUAACCUCGGGAAACUGAGGAUAAUGUUCCAUAGUUGAAUCGGCUUGGAAAAGUUUUUCAAUAAAAGGGAUAAAGAAAAUGGUCUUUAUCUGCUAUAGGAUAGGAUCGUGCUCGAUUAUGGUUGUUGGUGAGGUAAAGGCUCACCAAGCCGAUAAUCGAUAGGGGCCGUGAGAGCGGGAGCCCCGAGAUGGGUACUGAGACAACGACCCAGGCCUUACGAGGCGCAGCAGGCGCGAAACCUCCGCAAUACACGAAAGUGUGACGGGGUUACCCAAAGUGUUCUAUUUAGAACUGUGGUAGGUGAGUAAUGUUCCCUACUAGAAAGGAGAGGGCAAGGCUGGUGCCAGCCGCCGCGGUAAAACCAGCUCUUCAAGUGGUCGGGAUAAUUAUUGGGCUUAAAGUGUCCGUAGCCGGUUUAGUAAGUUCCUGGUAAAAUCGGGUAGCUUAACUAUCUAUAUACUAGGAAUACUGCUAUACUAGAGGGCGGGAGAGGUCUGAGGUACUACAGGGGUAGGGGUGAAAUCUUAUAAUCCUUGUAGGACCACCAGUGGCGAAGGCGUCAGACUGGAACGCGCCUGACGGUGAGGGACGAAAGCCAGGGGAGCGAACCGGAUUAGAUACCCGGGUAGUCCUGGCCGUAAACGAUGCAUACUAGGUGAUGGCACGGCCAUGAGCCGUGUCAGUGCCGUAGGGAAACCGUUAAGUGUGCCGCCUGGGAAGUACGGUCGCAAGGCUAAAACUUAAAGGAAUUGGCGGGGGAGCACCACAAGGGGUGAAGCCUGCGGUUCAAUUGGAUUCAACGCCGGA
rnacentral:rRNA from 1 species